rnacentral:rRNA from 1 species
UACGUAGGGUGCAAGCGUUAUCCGGAAUUAUUGGGCGUAAAGAGCUCGUAGGCGGUUUGUCACGUCUGCUGUGAAAACUGGAGGCUCAACCUCCAGCCUGCAGUGGGUACGGGCAGACUAGAGUGCGGUAGGGGAGAUUGGAAUUCCUGGUGUAGCGGUGGAAUGCGCAGAGUAUCAGGAGGAACACCGGUGGCGAAGGCGGUUCUCUGGGCAUUACCUGACGCUGAGGAGCGAAAGUGUGGGGAGCAAACAGG